ACGUAAUAAUACAUAAACAGUUUACAAAGCGGAAAUAGCAAUAAUAUUGAUCAAUUAACAUUUUCCUAUUUAUCGAAUUAUUGAAAAUGUUAUUUGUUCUGUUAUGUAUAGACGACAAUAAUUUGUUAUCAGUAAUUUAGCAUCGCCUCAAUGACGAACCACAAAACAUGGAAAAUGUGGUUUCUACUUAAAUUUGCUGAGAAGAAGAACGUUGCACCACAUAUUGUUUUGUCAACUCUGUAUUGGAGUCUAGCUUGCAACCAGCUACACACACAUAUGUAUACAAAGUGAUUCAAAAUUGAGGUCAUUCCACUGGAUGGGUUGUUUGGGGAUGUUUUAGUACAGAAAAAUAGUAAAAAAAUAAAUGGUUAUUAAGAACACAGAAA